rnacentral:lncRNA from 1 species
UUUCUGGUCCUCACUCCCAGGCUCUGUUCCAGAAAUGUCUACCAACAAGGUGAAAUGGAAUGGGAAAAGGGGAAAGGAAAUAAAUCAGACUGGUGUUUCUCCACCAGGGCCUUGUAUUAUGUAGGCUGCAAGGUAUGCUACUAUAACAAAGGGACCAAGAAACUUCAACAAGAAGAAGUUUAUCCUUAUCCAUGUAAUAACUUAGAGAUAAGUAGGCAAACUUGUCCUUGUAGUCAUCUCUGCCAUACUCAACUUAUAGCUGUGACCUUCCUGUGCAACUCUGGAAAGAUCCUCCAAUGAUUCUCAUCCACCCAUCAAGGGAAAGAAUGGCCUAUUCCCAAUCAUUUUUAGCUGUUCAAGUCUCAGAGUGGUACACAGUACUUUUUGGUUUUUUACAUCCCUUUGAGCAAAGCUUUGUGAUGUGGUUACCCUUAACUGUAAGAUAUCUGGAGAUUAUAAACUUUAGCUGGGAAGAUAUGUGACUACUUUCUACUCUAUUAUAUGGAAAGAAGAGAAUGGAUAGUAACAGACAACUAGCAAUCAGCUACAAAUCUCAACAGAGCCAGAGGCUUUACCAGCACUCACUUGCCUGUUAAUAUCAGUUGCUUCAGACUUGAAGUGUAAGAAUUGGAGGGAAAGAAAAUGGCAGAUGGUGCAACUGAUCUGCAGAGAAGCUAAUUAACUUGCCCAAAGUUAUGGAGCUAAGGAAUGGCUUUAGAAAGCAAAAGAAAAAUUUUUUAUUAAGAAAUGAAAAGAAAAAAGACGCAGUAUGGACUCAGACUGAUAAACCAUUUGCAUGAGAGAACUAUACACCAUUUGAAAAAGAGCUUUUUUGCAAGGUGUGGUGGCUAACUCCUGUAACCCUGGCAACUCGAAAGGCUGAGGCAGGAGGAUCAC